AAUAAAGACAUAAAAAACUUAAAUGGAGUUCAUUUGAAUUAUAUAGAUCCUUACUGGUAAGUUCUGAACAAAAUUCUGGUGGCAAGCUCCUUAAAGUUCCAAUUCCAAGCACAGAGAUGUUCAUGGAAGGUUUUACAUAACACGUAUAGAACCUGUCCAUGGCUGGGGAAUUCCUGUGAUCCGGUACACACAGAAAAAUAUCAAGAGAAGUUAAAUUUUAAAAUGAUGGACCUUUUCUAAUUAGAUUACUUCUGAUCAAUACAAUGUCUGAUUUUUAUAAGAUGUCAACUAAAAUUCAAAUUCAGAUGUCAAAAAGGUUUAAAUAACCCUCCCUCCGAUCUCUGAUUUGGUAUCAUGGUAAAAAAGUGCUAAUUUUAAUGUUGCAUAAAAAUAAGUCAUUGGUAUCAGUGAUACAUAUUAUUUUGUAAUAUGAAGACUGAAGAAAGAGAAAGGACUCCCUCCUUUCAGUAAAAUUAUAUCAAAAUUUGUUUUUAAAUUACAGUUCAGUGUCCCCUAUCCCUCUUUUGUCCCUGGGGGCCAGACUUGUUGUUCUUGGGUUAUUGACAGCAAAGGGGUGGAGGAGGAGAGAGAAGAUAAAAUGAGCAAA
rnacentral:lncRNA from 1 species